rnacentral:lncRNA from 1 species
UCUCCUAAAAUUACUCGUUGCAAUAUCUAUUUAAAUCUUAUUAUGUUUUUAUAAAUGACAUCAAAUGAGCAAUAAAUCUUUGUUUACAACCGAAAAAUCACAAUUGGGUUUUGAUCUUAGUUUCUUCAUCUUCUUUCUUUUACAUGCUUUUUGCUUACAUUUUUUUUCCUUCUUGAAAACUUCAAUUCUUAUUAUAUGCCAUCUAUCUGCCAUAAGUGAAAUAAAGAUCAUGAUUUAGUUAUGACUUGCAAUCCAUUGAAUCAUCAUAGAAAUUUUGCUCUAUAAAAAUUUUGAUUUAAAAAAACUAAAACAAUAAUUGUAUGAAAAUUUAUAGAAAGUUUUGGUUAGAAUCAGAAUAACCAAGUAUAUUUAACAUAAAUUAAGUGAUGGAGUACCUUUAUUUUACGUUUUCCAAGCUUUACAGAAAAACACAC